UACGGGGGGGGCAAGCGUUGUUCGGAAUUACUGGGCGUAAAGGGCUCGUAGGCGGCCAACUAAGUCGGAUGUGAAAUCCCCAGGCUUAACCUGGGAACUGCAUCCGAUACUGGAUGGCUUGAAUCCGGGAGAGGGAUGCAGAAUUCCAGGUGUAGCGGUGAAAUGCGUAGAUAUCUGGAGGAAUACCGGUGGCGAAGGCGGGACUCUGGGCCGAUACUGACGCUGAGGAGCGAAAGCGUGGGGAGCAAACAGG
rnacentral:rRNA from 1 species